ensembl:snRNA U7 U7 small nuclear RNA
AUGUGUUACAGCUCUUCUAGAAUUUGUCUAGCAGGUUUUCUGGUGAAAAUUAAACUCAA